rnacentral:rRNA from 1 species
AACGAACGCUGGCGGCAUGCCUAACACAUGCAAGUCGAACGAGACCUUCGGGUCUAGUGGCGCACGGGUGCGUAACGCGUGGGAACCUGCCCUUAGGGUCGGAAUAACUCCCCGAAAGGGGUGCUAAUACCGGAUAAUGUCUUCGGACCAAAGAUUUAUCGCCCUUGGAUGGGCCCGCGUUGGAUUAGCUAGUUGGGAGGGUAAAAGCCUACCAAGGCGACGAUCCAUAGCUGGUCUGAGAGGAAGAUCAGCCACACUGGGACUGAGACACGGCCCAGACUCCUACGGGAGGCAGCAGUGGGGAAUAUUGGACAAUGGGCUGAGGGCUGAUCCAGCAAUGCCGCGUAAGUGAUGAAGGCCUUAGAGUUGUAAAGCUCUUUUACCCGGGAUGAUAAUGACAGUACCGGGAGAGUAAGCUCCGGCUAACUCCGUG